UACGUAGGGGGCAAGCGUUGUCCGGAUUUACUGGGCGUAAAGAGCGUGUAGGCGGCCACGCAGGUCCGUUGUGAAAACUGAAGGCUCAACCUCCAGACGUCGACGAAACCGUAUGGCUAGAGUCCGGAAGAGGAGAGUGGAAUUCCUGGUGUAGCGGUGAAAUGCGCAGAUAUCAGGAAGAACACCAAUUGCGAAGGCAGCUCGCUGGGACGUUACUGACGCUGAGACGCGAAAGCGUGGGGAGCAAACAGG
rnacentral:rRNA from 1 species